rnacentral:rRNA from 1 species
AACGAACGCUGGCGGCAGGCCUAACACAUGCAAGUCGAGCGAGGACUUCGGUCCUAGCGGCGGACGGGUGAGUAACGCGUGGGAACGUGCCCCUUGGUACGGAAUAGCCCCGGGAAACUGGGAGUAAUACCGUAUGAGCUCUACGGAGGAAAGAUUUAUCGCCAAGGGAUCGGCCCGCGUUGGAUUAGGUAGUUGGUGGGGUAAUGGCCUACCAAGCCGACGAUCCAUAGCUGGUUUGAGAGGAUGAUCAGCCACACUGGGACUGAGACACGGCCCAGACUCCUACGGUAGGCAGCAGUGGGGAAUCUUAGACAAUGGGCACAAGCCUGAUCUAGCCAUGCCGCGUGAGCGAUGAAGGCCUUAGGGUUGUAAAGCUCUUUCAGCGAGGAAGAUAAUGACUGUACUCGCAGAAGAAGCCCCGGCUAACUCCGUGCCAGCCGCCGCGGUAAAAC